UGUGAAUGUAGGUUAAUUUGAGGAACUUGAUAUCAAUGUCAAAUUUAUUUGUUGAACAAGAAGACUAAUCUCCGCGAAUAGAACCGAGGUGGGUUCUAGCUAGAUGGGAUACAGCUAUGGUCUAUAUCUCGCGAGGUUUUUAAUUUAGGGUUUGGUUUGAAAGUCGAAUUAUGAUGAAAACAGCGGUUCUGGCUAGAUGGGUUACAGAUACUACAUAAAUCUAGCGAAAUGUUGGCUCUAAGGUUAGGUUUGGGUGUAGCAUUAAUGAUGUGGAUAAGGAUGAAAACGGUGCUCAUCUGACGAGAUUGGUCGUUGCUGUAUCCCUUCUAGCCACAACCGCGCAUGCGCUCAUCGGUGCAGUCGCCUCAGCAGCACAACAUCCUGCAGCAUGACUUCUUUAGUCGAGGAAACUGAGGUAACACUGAGGGAAAAAACGAUUAUCUGCUGAAAUUAAAGUCAACUGAAGUCGACAGUGAUCAGACUAAGUAACAAAGUUACGGUUUAACUAAAAAAAAAUAUAUAAAAUAAGACAUUAAUCUGAAAAGAGCUGCUGUGAGACUGACUGAACAGAUUCAACAAGACACCAACAAUCAGGUGAUGGUUUCAGAGGUCAGAUACCUUCAUCAGUUUGUGUCUGUAGUCUCUAUCAACAUCUCUUAUAAAGAUGCAGAACAUCAAAAUUGCUGCUACAAUCAUCAGAGAUCCAGCAGCAGCCCCAGAGAUAUAAUCUAAGAAUAGGUUCAAUGUUUACACUUUAUUUUACAGUAUCACCAUUAAACAUGUUACAUGUACUUACUAGUAAUAACAGUAAAUUAGGUAUAAUUACAUGCAAGUAACCUUAAACCAAACACUAACCUUAAAGUAAGAACAUGUUGUACUCGAGU